GAUGAACGCUGGCGGCGUGCUUAACACAUGCAAGUCGAACGUGAUCCAUUAGCAAUAGUGGUGAAAGUGGCGAACGGGUGAGUAACACGUAGGUAACCUGCCCUGAAGCGGGGGAUAACGGCUGGAAACGGUCGCUAAUACCGCAUGAGUCCAUUGAAACGGGAGUGAGAUGGAGAAAAUUACGGUGCUUCAGGAGGGGCCUGCGUCCGAUUAGCUAGUUGGUGAGGUAACGGCUCACCAAGGCGACGAUCGGUAGCUGGUCUGAGAGGACGAUCAGCCACACGGGAACUGAGACACUGUCCCGACUCCUACGGGGGGCAGCAGUUAGGAAUAUUGGGCAAUGGGCGGAAGCCUGACCCAGCAACGCCGCGUGAAGGAUGAAGGCCUUCGGGUUGUAAACUUCUUUUAUGGGGGAAGAGUAAGGACGGUACCCCAGGAAUAAGUCACGGCUAACUACGUGCCAGCCGCCGCCGUAA
rnacentral:rRNA from 1 species